AGAGGGUGCAAGCGUUAAUCGGAAUUACUGGGCGUAAAGGGUGCGUAGGUGGUUUGUUAAGUCAGGCGUGAAAUCCUCGGGCUCAACCUGGGAACUGCGCUUGAUACUGGCAGACUCGAGUGUGGUAGAGGAUAGUGGAAUUCCCGGUGUAGCGGUGAAAUGCGUAGAUAUCGGGAGGAACAUCAGUGGCGAAGGCGGCUAUCUGGACUAACACUGACACUGAGGCACGAAAGCGUGGGUAGCAAACAGGAUUAGAUACCCUGGUAGUCCACGCCCUAAACGAUGGGAACUAGACGUCGGGAAGCUGGUCUUCUUGGUGUCGCAGCUAACGCAAUAAGUUCCCCGCCUGGGGAGUACGGUCGCAAGAAA
rnacentral:rRNA from 1 species